rnacentral:lncRNA from 1 species
UUUGCCUGUUGGGGCUCGGGGGCAGUAUUGAGACAUUUUGAAAAAAAUAUGUGCCCAUUUUUAACUGCCUCCUACACCAACUCAGAAGCUAGGAUAUGCAUAUUAUUAACACAUUCGGAUAGAAAACACUCUGAAUUUUCUAAAACAGUUUGAAUGGUGUCUGUAAGUAUAACAAAACUCAUAUUGCAGGCAAAAACCUGUGAAAAAUAGAUCAAAAAAAAUGUGAAUUUUGUGACUGUAAUAUUUAGUGUCAUUGUUUUAUAGAUACCAUAGUGAGAAAGGAUUCAUUUCGCAACACCUACGGCUUCCACUAGAUGUCAACGAUCUUUAUAAAGUUGUUUGAAGCGUCUAUGAUAAACAGAGAGCAAAUUAGAAUCCAAGGAAGUUGACAUGUCAUCACUUCAUUUUUUUGCGCCUGCGCAUAAAUCUGAGAAACGUGAGUUUUGUCUUCAUUGUUUAUCUCGACAUAGGAUAGGUUGUGUGAAAAUAUUACUGAUGUUUAACGUUAAAAAUGGACCAAAAGAUUAAUGCUAAACAACAUUUGACAUGUUUGAACGAACAUAAAUAGAUUAUUUACUAGUUUUUUUUAGCUUUUCGGCGUGAUUUUACAGUCCCCCACCACGUUUUGUGGGAGCAUAAUGAACGCUAAGUACUUGGUGUUAUUUGGACAUAAAUUAUGAACUUUGUCAAAAGAAACCACAUUUGUUCCGGACCUGGGAUGCCUUCCGGACCUGGGAUGCCUGUCUUCUGAUGGAGAUAAUCAAAGAGAAAAGGACCACAAGCUGAAAACUUUCCUCUCGAUCGAACCAAUCGCUGCUCGCAUGUCCUUUCAUGGUAAAGUACAACUAGUCAUGAGCACGGAAAUAAGCAGCAAAGACCUUGUUACUCAAAGACCCAGCUACUCUCUGACAGUCACCAUCAGAACAUCAGACCACCAGAUGGACAGGCUGUGUGUCGCUCUGAUUGCAUUCUUAUGUCUCUUAAGGUGUUGCUAUCUAAGGUGAACACCUCAAAGAAGCUGAAUAAUUUCCAUUGACGUCACGUUAUUGUGAAACCUGUUUACGUCGAUGCUAGACCCUCCCCUUCAUGUCACACAAAAAGGUUUUCAGGGAAAAGGACCACAGGCUGAAAACGUUCCACUCGAUCGAACCAAUCGCUGCUCGUAUGUCCUUUCAUGGUAAAGUACAUCUAGUCAUGAACACAGAAAUACGCAGCAAAGACCUUUUUACUCAAAGACCCAGCUACUCUCUGACAGUCACCAUCAGACCAUCAGACCACCAGAUGGACAGGCUGUGUGUCACUCUGAUUGCAUUCUUAUGUGCUGUUUCCUCCAGUCAGGAUGGGAUCUCUGCAGCAGAGGUGGAGAUGAGAGUCAGACCAGGAGACAACAUCACUCUCUACUGUGACUGUAACAUAACUUCUGGAAUAUACAUUAUGUGGUAUAGGAACUGUUCUCACAAGUACCAGCCUCCUCUUGUUAUUUUAACUACGUUUUUAAGUUCCAUCUCUCUCCCUGGAUUUAAUGUGUUAUGGAACCCCUCUAACAACUCCUAUGAUCUACUGAUUGAGAACAUCACUGAAUCUGACCUGGGACUCUACUACUGUGGGACUGUGGAGUACAAGGUGGAAGAAGGAAAACGAAUGAAAUAUAAAGAGUUGUUCCACUAUGGAAACAUCACCACUCGGAUUUCACUUGAAACCAGUCCUCCUGCCAGUCUAUUGCCAGAAACCAGUCCUCCUGACUGUCUAUUGCCAGAAAUCAGUCCUCCUGAGCCAUCCUCCUCCUCCCCUCCUCCUGUAGACUGUGGUCUGUGUUGGAUGUUGCUGUUCAGUCUGUGUCCUGUAUCUGCUCUCCUCUACUCCGCCUGUGUUUACUCCUUUUACAGAACAACAGCUCCAACUGAGACUCAGGUUCCUCUGAACAAGACCACCACCAGGGGAAUUGACAGCAGAGAGCAGACUACUGUCAAAUACAUACACAUCUAUCAAUACCAGCAGAGUGUGAGACCUAUACCAUCCAUCAAUACCAGCAGAGUGUGACCAAUACCAUCCAUCAAUACCAGCAGAGUGAGACCUAUACCAUCCAUCAAUACCAGCAGAGUGUGACCAAUACCAUCCAUCAAUACCAGCAGAGUGAGACCUAUACCAGCCAUCAAUACCAGCAGAGUGAGACCAAUACCAUCCAUCAAUACCAGCAGAGUGUGAGACCUAUACCAUCCAUCAAUACCAGCAGAGUGAGACCUAUACCAUCCAUCAAUACCAGCAGUGUGAGUCCUAUACCAUCCAUCAAUACCAGCAGAGUGUGAGACCUAUACCAUCCAUCAAUACCAGCAGAGUGUGAGACCUAUACCAUCCAUCAAUACCAGCAGAGUGUGAGACCUAUACCAAUGUAGCUGGGAGGAAAUUAUUUUUAAGAGUUACUUAUUUUUUUUUUUACCUUUUCAUACAAGUGAUUUAUUUGUACACUUUUGGCUGUAACCUUUUAAUAAUAAUAACAAUAGUGAUUUAGAAAAUGUGGUUAAGAUCAGGGAAUAAUGGUUAAAUAGCUGUUGUUACAGUCUUAGUUUGUAAUUCUAGGUGUUAAAGUUCAUUGUUUUCCAUUUGUAAGUGUAUUGAUAUGUGUUAAUGUAGCUGAAUAAAUAUUGAUUCAGUUUAAUUACAUUUUAUUUAGUUAUUUAUUUGUCUCCCCUUAACUUCUCUUAGAGCGCGAGGUCAUUAUAUUUGGUUUGACAAACGCUCCAGCAAACCAAUCAGAGCUAUUUGAGGGUGUGGCUUAGAUGUGAAGGGUUGAGACUUUGGUGAAGAAGGUGUGGCUUAGAAAUAAAGAGGGUGUGGCUUUAGAGGAUGACAGAGAUGCAUGUAAAGAGCAUGGAGGUUAAGGGGUGUGAUUUAUAUGUUAAGAGGUGUGAUUUAUAUAUUAAGGGGUGUGAUUUAUAUGUUAAGGGGUGUGAUUUAUAUGUUAAGGGGUGUGAUUUAUAUGUUAAGGGGUGUGAUUUAUAUGUUAAGAGGUGUGAUUUAAAUGUUAAGGGGUGUGGUUUAUAUGUUAAGGUGUUAUUUAAAUGUUAAGGGGUGUGGUUUAUAUGUUAAGGGGGGGAAUUUAUAUGUUAAGAGGUGUGAUUUGAAUGUUACGGUGUGUGAUUUAUAUGUUAAUGUGUGUGGUUUAUAUGUUAAAGUGUGAUUUAAAUGUUAAGGGGUGUGGUUUAUAUGUUAAGGUGUGAUUUAAAUGUUAAGGGGGGUGGUUUAUAUGUUAAGGGGUGUAAUUUAUAUGUUAAGAGGUGUGAUUUAAAUGUUAAGAUGUGUGGUUUUAGUGGAAUACAGAGUUGUUGAGUAGAACCAGAGUAGUUUCUAUGGUUUCAUAAACAUGAAGCCCAGGGCUCUUUAACCCUGUUCCUGGAAAACUACCAUCCUGUAGGUUUUCACUCCAACCCUAAUCUAGCACAAUAAUAUUUAGCUCGUUGAUGAACUGAUUCGGGUUAGUUACAACUGGGGUUGGAUAUCCCUGACCCUGUAUAUGGUUGAACAUUUUAAGUUUUAAAUGAAGCUCCGUGAAGCUUUCAGUGAAAGCACAUUAUCAAUAGAGUUACAUAGUGAAACCAGGUUAAUUAUACUACAUUAUCAAUGGAGUUACAUAGUGAAAUCAGGUGAAUUAUACCACAUCAUUAGAGUAACAUAGUGAAAUCAGGUUAAUUAUACCACAUUAUCAAUAGAGUUACAUAAUGUAAUCAGGUUAAUUAUACUACAUUAUCGAUAGAGUUACAUAGUAACAUCAGGUUCAUUGUAUCACAUUAUCGAUAGAGUUACAUAGUAACAUCAGGUUCAUUGUAUCACAUUAUCAAUGGAGUUACAUAGUGAAAUCAGGUUAAUUAUACCACAUUAUCAAUAGAGUUACAUAGUGAAAUCAGGUUAAUUAUACCACAUUAUCAACAGAGUUACAUAGUGAAAUCAGGUUAAUUAUACCACAAAACAGUAGUCUCUGAAAAAGCAUGAUUUAAUUCCAGAAGAUAACCAUUACAUGUAUUUUCACCAAAUACUAAUCAUACAUGAAAAGUAGAUAAUUUCAUCUGAAUGAAGAGCAGAUACAACAGAAAGUGCAUGUUCAAUCUAUUAAAAGUAGAAAAUAAAUGUAAAAACUUUGAAUGUAACCAAAUUAAAGCCUUUUG